AACGAACGCUGGCGGCAUGCCUAACACAUGCAAGUCGAACGAGACCUUCGGGCUUUUUGGCGGUCGGGUGCGUAACACGUGGGAAGUUGCCCGUAGGUUAGGAAUACCUCCCUGUAGGGGGUCCUAAGACCGCUUAAUGUAUUACGACAAAAGAUCUAUGGCGUCUGGGUGGGGGCUGGUUGGUUUCGUUGGUUGGUAGGGUAAUAGCCGAUCAAGGGGAGGAUGCAUGGCUGGUGGGGUAGGAUGAUCAGUCACACUGGGACUGAGACACGGCCCAGACUCCUACGGGAGGGAGCAGUAGGGAAUAUUGGAGAAUGGGGGAAGGCCUGAUCCAGCAAUGCGGCGUGAGUGGUGAAGGCGUUGGGGUUGUAAAGCUCUUUUAGACGGGAUGAUAAUGACAGUACCGGGAGAAUAAGCUCCGGCUAACUCCGUG
rnacentral:rRNA from 1 species